rnacentral:misc_RNA from 1 species
CAACACAAAGGGGAGCCUAAGCUCCCCUUUAAUGUGUUGUUGCCUGCUCUUUUUAUUAUUGAGGGGCGGUCUGUUAUUGUUUUUGUGACCGUGGCCCUUUACUGCUGUUUUUGGCGAUCCCCAUCCGGGAUCAAGAGCAAACGUAUUUUUUUGAGCGCUGAUCCACUUUCAUCACAGGGUUUGAAACCUGCGAUCCAACCUGAACGGGUGCUACCUGAAGGUAGUU